rnacentral:lncRNA from 1 species
UUCACCACCCACAACAAAAGGCUCCUCACGCCACACCGCUUCGCAUUCACAAUCGGUUUCUUCACACAUGCCACAACGAUUCUUCUCUUCCCACAAAGAUUCGUUACUCAACCCUCUGUACCUUCUUUGUUCUAUUUAUGUUUUUACGGGAAAGGAAAAAUCCCCUUUAUCUACUAACCUCUACACAUUUUUCCCUCGCCACAUUUUUUGUCACCAAAUGCUACCUUCACGCCAACGAUGUCUAUGGGGAAAAAACUAUUUCUCGCCAACGGUUUGUAAUACUUUCAAAGUUAAUCUGUAUAAUUUAUGCCCUUUUCUUACAUAUUUGCAUCUUCUAAAAUUAUUUACGUCCUAAUCUUAUUGUAUAGGUGUGGACAACCAAGGAUUGGGCUGCCAAAAAUGUCGUAAAGAGAUUGAGGUACAGUCCAAAGCUUCUCUUCAAUAUUAUGCUUUUCCACAAUUCGUAACUAAUGGUGUGAAUAUUCUAGUCUAAUGUUUCUUCCAAAUCAUUACUAAGGAUGUAAACGUUAUGUUAAGAUUCUAACACACUUUAUAUGUUAUCCUUAAAUGUUAUUUAUAUAUAGUUUAGUGUUAUGCAAUUUAGAUUGUACUAGAUUUGUAUUGUACCAUUAGAUUUUAGUAUUGCAUAGUAGUUCAAUUCCCUGUUACUUUAGUUCUUUUCCUCUAAGACUCACACAUUCAACAAUAAUAAGUUUAAAUGUUAUUUAUAUGUAGUUUAGUAAUAUGAAGUUUUAGCAUGUCUUAGAUUUUAAUCGUACACUCAAAUAUUGGUAUUGGAUAGUAGUUCAACUUUCUCCUUCUCUACACUUUUAUGCUUUGCUUGUAGCAACAUAUGCAUUAAACAUAGCUAUAAUAUUGUAAUGAUCAGAAAACUACUUUUUCCAGCAAAAUUGUAAUGCCUUCUUAAUUUUCAUUUGAUUAUAUGUAAAUUUUUGCUAUAUUCAUAUAAUUAUUUAUGUCCUGCUCUACUCUUUUGUGUUUUGCUUGAAGAGCGACAUAUGUAUUUAUCACAACAAUCGAAGUCUAAGAAUCAAAAAAAGAAAUUACCCCAAUAAUAGUGUCAAUAUCAGGAUAUUUAUUUUUAAUUUUCUCACAUCUUGCCUUUUUGGCCAUAUCUAAGUGCUCAGUCUCUUCCUUCAAAAGACACCCCUCUUACUCUUCAUCAGAAGUUGAACCACACGUUGUGUCCUCUUUCCAAUUCCUGUCUUUUCCCCUCAUUUUUUGUUUGCUGAAUUAUGAUGUGUUUCUACUUUUAUUUGGUGUUUGACAUUAAAUAAAGCACAAAUAUAAUUUAUAUUUUGCUCGGUUCUUAUAGGGUUCAAGUUAAAAUAUAAACUGAUUAGUGUAGUUUUCCAUGUGCUUAGACGUUCAUAUUACAACUUAUCUUUUAUCAUAUUCCCACAAUGGAUUAAAAAAUUAUACAUCAUGCGCAUCAAAUUUCUACGAAUAACUGAGAACUCUGUGAUGAUGACUUCAUACUAUACAAUUACUACAAUGAGUUUUGUUGUGGGUUACACUCUAAGUUACAGAUUAGUUUUAUUGGUAUACUAAAUUAUCUUUAUUCAUGCAAGUUGUAAUGCAACGGAUAAAAAUAUUAUCAUGGUACUAUUUCUUUACGAGGUAGUCUAUGCUUGCAUUCAGAAAAUAAUGACCUUAUUCAAUGGAUAAAACUUAAAAGUGCUACAAACUGUGUAAUCACCGAGAAACAAUUAUAUUGCAGAUCACUUACAAGCAAUUCUGCAUUUUCAUCUUUCCUUCUAACAUUUUGUUUGCUGCAUUAUGAUGUGUUUCUAUCUUUAUUGGGUGUUUGACAUUUAAAUAAAGCAUAAAUGGUAGUUUAUAUGAUGAUCGGUUCUUAUAGAGAUCAAGCUAAAUAUAAACUGAUUAAUAUAAUUUUUCAUGUGAUUAUAUGUUCAUAUUACAACUUAUCUGAUAUCUUACAGGAUUCCUAAUAUAUCUUGCACAUCAAAUUUCUGUGAAUAAUUGUCAAGGUAAAUUUUUAUGCUACUUUUAACUUUUUUUUUAGUUUUCCCCAAUUAACAUUGCAUUUAUCACUGUAACUGGUACAAUUAAAGAACUUGGAAUCUCCAUAGAUUUUAUGUUACAGAUUGAAUAUUUGAAAAAUAAAAAGCACAACUAAGAGCCAAAAUAUUUUGAAGGAGUUUUACUCGAUAAUUAAUUCAAAGAUUGACUUCAAAUAUAUUUGCUUACGUAAAGAUAGUAUAUACGCUAUUACAUUUAUGACUUUUUAAUUACAAUGUUGCAGAUAAAUAGUUUAUAAUGCCAUCUUCCAAACUCAUCAUUAGGCCAUCAUCUCCCGGAAUAAAUUUAUUCCACCUACAAUAUAUGUCUUCAAGUGACACGACCCGGAUUUUUCACCCUCGGGAGUCAUAAUGGCGCCGACUAGUGGAAGCUAGGCAAGCCUACCGUUUGAACAAUUUAUUUUUUUCCAUUUUUUAAUCCUUAAUCAAUUAGGAACCAACAGUUUAUAACAGCGAAAUUUAAACUAGCGAAAGAAACAAAUAAAAUCAUUUAAAUAUUUCCAUUACAAUUUCUUAAACAAAUACUACCCAGAACUAGUGCCAUAACUUCACAAACGGUCUAGGAAUACAAAAAAUAAGGUCUGAAAAAAUAAAUACAACACUGUUUUUGAAAUAAGUAAAUAAAACAGGAUGACUUGGAUCUUUGAAUGGACUGAAGGCAGCAACCCCAAGCUAAGGUCCAACAGUUGCUGCACUGGGAUCUGCACACAGUGCAGAGUGUAGUAUCAGCACAACCGACCCCAUGUGCUUUUAAGUGCCUACCCUAACCUCGGCGAAGUAGUGAUGAGGCUAGGACCAGACUACCAAAUAAAUCUGUGCAGAUAAUUCAUAUACAGUAAAAAAAUAAAAGCAGGAGCGUACAGUUAAGAAUGGGAGGGGAAAACAUGUUGCGCGAAAUAUCAAAUAAUAAUAGAAGGACAUCAGGUAAUUACAAGGAACACCAUAACUCAAUUAUCAACAAGAAUCAAAAAUCAAACAAGUGCACGACAUCACCCUUCGUGCUUUUACUCUCGUCCUCACCAUAAGAAUCAAUAUAAUCAGCACGGCAUCACCCUUCGUGCUUUUACUCUCGUCCUCACCAUAAAAUCAAUAUAAUCGGCACAGAAUUGCACAUUGUGCGGCACGGCAUCACCCUUCGUGCUCUUAGACUAUUCAUUACAAAAUCAUAUAUGGCAUCACCAUUCGUGCUUUAACACUCUCUUACCAAAACAAUGCACGGCAUCACCCUUCGUGCUUUAACACUCUUCCACACUAAAUCAACAAUCACAAGAAAUAAGGGCAAGGAAAUAAAUGAAAUCAUAAUAAAAUCCCGGCAAGAGAACAAUAGUACAACAAUCAUAUCCCGACAAGGGAACAAUAUCAAGAACAUCAACAUCCCGGCAAGGCAGAUAGCAUUAAAAGCAACAACAUCCCGGCAAGGGAGAUAAUAUAAUAAUCCUUUUCUCUUUAUCACAUUUACUUUACAACUCACUACACAACUUGAGCCAAUGCUCUAUAAGGUUCAAUUACAAAUUUUACUUCCACAAUUCGUUUUACAACUUGAGCCAACACUCCUCAAUAUUCACUUACCAAUACUACUUCCACAAGCUUUGCUCAACAAUAGAAAUCAUCACAAAAGGCAUAAACAAUUUAAAUAGAGUCAUAAUAAUCAUUAUAUAAGACUCACGGGCAUGCUUGACACUACCAUAUAUAUACUCAUCACCAUACAUCGUACUCAACAAAUAACACAUAGCAAAUAGGACACAACUCUUAAUCCCUCAAGCUAAGGUUAGACCAAACCCUUACCUCGAUGCCACGAACACAAUUCAAGUCUCAACUAUCGCUUUACCUCUUGAUUCCACCACCAAUUCACUCGUAUCUAGCCAUAAGUUACUUAACUAUAUCAAUAAAUGCUAAAUGAACCAAUUCCAAUGCAUGAAAAUAGGUUUUCUAAAGUUUUUCCCAAAAAGUCAAAAAUCGCCCCCGAACCCACAUGGUCAAAACCCGAGGUUCAAACCAAAACCCGAUUAUCCAUUCUCUCACGAACUCAAAUAUAUAAUUUGUUUUGAAAUCGAACCUCAUAUCGAGGUCCAAAUCUCCAAAAUUUGAAAAACCUAGGUUCUGCCCAAAACACCCAAUUCCCCCAUGAAAACCUUUGAUUUUAAGAUGAAAUCGUGAGAAAAGAUGCUAAAGAUUAAUAAAAACAAGUUAGAAACUACUUACAAUCGAUUUGGAAGAGUACUUGUCUUUGAAAAAUCGCCCAAAAGAGUUUAUGUUUUGAAAGAGCUUGAAAUAUGAAAGAUUUUUGGCUAAGUCAUGAAUUUGCAUGUCGCAGAUGUCGCAAUUGCGACCAGGGUUCGCAAUUGCGAACCCUUCAGGACCUGUUACACUCGCAUUUGCGACCACUGUUCGCAAUUGCGAACUCGCAUUUGCGACUAAGGGGGAUUUCUGGGCCUCUUCGCAUUUGCGAAGAAAUGAUCGUAUUUGCGAUCAGCCCUGCCCAGGCCUUCUCUCGCAUUUGCAAUAGGUUAUUCGCAUUUGCGAUCUCAUAUUUACGAGCCAGGAUUUGCAAAUGCAAAGCCUACAGACCUGCAACAUACCGACUAAAAACCUGCAACUUCCUAAGUUUAAAUUUCACUCCGAGGCCUAUCCAAAACUCACCCGAGCACUCGGGGCUCCAAACCAAACAUGUACACUAACCCAAAACAUCAUACGAGCUUUCUAGCACAAUUAAACCAUGAAAAUAACAUGUAAAACUAUGAAUUAAACCUCAAAAUUCAUCAUUUUCAUCAAGAACACUUAAAGCUCAUAAUUCUUCAACCGGAGGUCCAAAUCACGUCAAAUAAACUCCAUUUUUCAUCAAAUUUCACAGUUAUCAUUUAAAUACUUUAAAAAGUUUGUACUAGGCUCCGAAACCAAAAUACGAGCCCGACACCAAUGGUUUCAAACAUUAAUUCUUUUCUUUAUUUCAUAAAUAAUUCAGCAAAAUAAUUUCUUUGAAAAAUUGAUUUCUAAGGCUUGGGAUCUCGGAAUUCAUUUCCGGGCAUACGCCCAAGUCUCAUAUUUUAUUACGAACCUCCCGAGAUUUCGGAACAUGGGUCUGGGGCUGUUUGCUCAAAAUAUUGACCAAAGUCAACCAUAAUCAAAUUUUAACUCUAAAAAUUUCUAUUUCUCAUAUUUUCAUAUAAAAGCUUUCCGGAUAUACGUCCGGAUCACGCACGCAAAUCGAGGUGAGGUAAAAAAGAGGUUUUAAGGCCUCAUAAUACAAAAUUUAUUUCUAAAACAAGUGAUGACAACUUUCGGAUCAUCACAUCAAGGUUUAACUGAGAAGAUUUUCAGACUAUCGUAAGUGCAAAUUGGAUAUCCUUCUCUAAGGCAAAUAUUUGAAGAUAGUAUAUACGUUAUUGAAUUUAUGACUUUUGAGUUAUAUUGUUGCAGAUAGAUACUUUAUAAUACCAUCAUCCAGACUCAUCAUUAGGCCAUCAUCUCCCGGAAUAAAUUUAUUUCACCUACAAUAUAUGUCUUCAAGGUUAACUUUGAAGAUUUUCAGACUAAUGUUAUUUAUAUGUAGUUUAGUGAUAUGAAGUUUUAGACUGUCUUAGCUUUUAUUCGUACCAUCAAAUAUUGGUAUUGGAUAGUAGUUCAACUUCCUCCUUCUCUACACUGUUAUGCUUUGCUUGUCGCAACAUAUGCAUUAAACAUAGCUGCAAUAUUGUAAUGAUCAGGAAAAUACUUUUUCCAGCAAAAUUGUAAUGCCUUCUUAAUUUUCAUUUUAUUAUAUGUAGAUUCUUGCUAUAUUCAUAUAAUUAUGUAUGUCCUGCUCUACUCUUUUGUGUUCUGCUUGAAGAGCAACAUAUGUAUUUAUCACAACAACCAAAGUCUAAGGAUCAAAAAAGAAAUUACCCCAAUAAUAGUGUCAAUAGCAGGAUAUCUAUUUUCAAUUUUCUCACAUCUUACCUUUUUGGCCAUAUCUAAGUGCUCAGUUUUUUCCUUCAAAAGACACCCCUCUUACUCUUAUAUGUAGAUUCUUGCUAUAUUCAUAUAAUUAUGUAUGUCCUGCUCUACUCUUUUGUGUUCUGCUUGAAGAGCAACCUAUGUAUUUAUCACAACAACUGAAGUCUAAGGAUCAAACAAGAAAUUACCCCAAUAAUAGUGUCAAUAUCAGGAUAUUUAUUUUCAAUUUUCUCACAUCUUACCUUUUUGGCCAUAUCUAAGUGCUCAGUUUUUUCCUUCAAAAGACACCCCUCUUACUCUUCAUCAGAACUUGAACCACACAUUGUUUCCUCUUCCCAAUUUCCGUCUUUUCCCCUCACUUUUUGUUUGCUGAAUUAUGACGUGUUUCUACUUUUAUUGGGUAUUUGACAUUAAAUAAAGCAUAAAGGUAAUUUAUAUGAUGCUCGGUUCUUAUAAGGUUCAAGUUAAAAUAUAAACUGAUUAGUGUAGUUUUCCAUGUGCUUAGACGUUCAUAUUACAACUUAUCUUUUAUUAUAUUCCCACAAUGGAUUAAAAAAUUAUAUAUCAUGCGCAUCAAAUUUGUAUGAAUAACUGAGAACUCUGUGAUGAUGACUUCAUACUAUACAAUUACUGCAUUGCGUUUUGCCGGGGGUUACAUUCUAAGUUACAGAUUAGUUUUAUUGGUAUACUAAAUUAUCUUUAUUCAUGCAAGUUGUAAUGCAACGGAUAAAAAUAUUACCAUGGUACUAUUUCUUUAUGAGGUAGUCUAUGCUUGCAUUCAGAAAAUGAUGACCUUAUUCAAUGAAUAAAACUUAAAAGUGCUGCAAACUGUGUAAUCACCGAGAAACAAUUAUAUUGCAGAUCACAUGCAAGCAAUUCUGCAUUUUUUAUCUUUCCUUCUAACAUUUUGUUUGCUGCAUUAUGAUGUGUUUCUACCUUUAUUGGGUAUUUAACAUUUAAAUAAAGCAUAAAUGGUAGUUUAUAUAAUGGUCGAUUCUUAUAGAGAUCAAGUUAAACGUAAAUUGAUUAGUAUAGUUUUUCAUGUGAUUAUAUGUUCAUAUUACAACUUAUCUUAUAUCUUACAGGAUUCCUAAUAUAUCUUGCACAUCAAAUUUCUAUGAAUAAUUAUCAAGGUAAAUUUUUAUGCUACAUUUAACAUUUUUUUUAGUUUUCCCCAAUUAACAUUACAUUUAUCACUGUAACUGGUACAAUUAAAGAACUUGAAAUCUCCAUAGAUUUUAUGUUACGGAUUGAAUAUUUGAAAAAUAAAAAGCACAACUAAGAGCCAAAAUAUUUUGAAGGAGUUUUACCUGAUAAUUAAUUCAAAGUUUGACUUCAAAUAUAUUUGUGUACGUAAAGAUAGUAUAUACAUUAUUGCAUUUAUGACUUUUGAAUUACAUUGUUGCAGAUAAAUAGUUUAUAAUGCCAUCUUCCAAACUUAUCAUUAGGCCAUCAUCUCCCGAAAUAAAUUUAUUCCACCUACAAUAUGUGUCUUCAAGGUUUAAGUGAGAAGAUUUUCAGACUAUCAUAGGUACAAAUUGAAUAUCCUUCUCUAAGACAAACAUUUGAAGUUAGUAUAUGCGUUAUUGCAUUUACGACUUUUGAGUUACAUUGUUGCAGAUAGAUACUUUAUAAUACCAUCAUCCAGAUUCAUCAUUAGGCUAUCAUCUCCCAGAAUAAAUUUAUUCCACCUACAAUAUGCGUCUUCAAGGUUAACUUUCAAGAUUUUCAGACUAUCGUAGGUGCAAAUUGGAUAUCCUUCGCUAAGACAAAUAUUUGAAGAUAAUAUAUACGUUAUUGCAUUUAUGACUUUUGAGUUACAUUUUUGCAGAUAAAUAGUUUAUAAUGCCAUAUUCCAGACUCAUCAUUAGGCCAUCAUCUCCUGGAAUAAAUUUAUUCCACCUACAAUAUGUGUUUUCAAGGUUUAAGUGAGAAGAUUUUCAGACUAUCGUAGGUGCAAAUUGGAUAUCCUUCUCUAAGGCAAAUAUUUGAAGAUAGUAUAUACGUUAUUGCAUUUAUGACUUUUGAGUUACAUUGUUGCAGAUAAAUAGUUUAUAAUGCCAUCUUCCAGACUCAUCAUUAGGCCAUCAUCUCCCGGAAUAAAUUUAUUCCACCUACAAUAUGUGUCUUCAAGGUUAACUGAGAAGAUUUUCAGACUAUCGUAGGUCCAAAUUGGAUAUCCUUCUCUAAGGCAAAUAUUUGAAAAUAUGCCGACAUUGUUACCAACAUCCAGAGACGGCCUAAAUCCGAUCAGUAAAUAUGAUAUCAUGACGGAGUAAGGAACUUUACUAAGCAAAUAGAGAGUGACUUACUCUUGCAACAACUUUAUUCUGCUUGCAAUUGUUUGGUUAUCUUUAUGUCAAGGGCUAUAUAUGGAUUGAAAACAAUAACUACACUAAGGUAUAUAUGGUUUAUAUUCUUUUAUUGCAUUAUUUUCUGGAUGCAGAAAGAUCUUUUCUACUUUUGAUUUUGGGUUCCCGAUGUGCGAUAUACAUAAUACAGUAAACUAUCUCUUUUUCUGUAUACAUGGAUUUUCUAGCUUUUCACGCUACAAAGUCCAUAGUUUGAUGGUUUGUUCAUUUUCAUGUCAUUUGUCA